rnacentral:rRNA from 1 species
UACGGAAGGCAGCGGUGGGGAAUAUUGCACAAUGGGCGAAAGCCUGAUGCAGCUAUGCCGCGUGUAUGAAGAAGGCCUUAGGGUUGUAAAGUACUUUCAUCGGGGAGGAAAAAACAAAACUAAUAAUUUUAUUCUUGACGUUACCCGAAAAAGAAGCACCGGCUAACUCCGUGCCAGCAGCCGCGGUAAUACGGAGGGUGCUAGCGUUAAUCAGAAUUACUGGGCGUAAAGAGCACGUAGGUGGUUUUUUUAAAGUCAGAUGUGAAAUCCCCUGGGCUUAACCUAGGAACUGCAUUUUUGAAACUGAAAUACUAGAGUAUCGUAGAGGGAGGUAGAAUUCUAGGUGUAGCGGUGAAAUGCGUAGAUAUCUGGAGGAAUACCUGUGGCGAAAGCGGCCUCCUAAACGAAUACUGACACUGAGGGUGCGAAAGCGUGGGGAGCAAACAGGGAUUAGAUACC